rnacentral:rRNA from 1 species
AUUUAGAUAUAUAUCGGUUAUGGAUGAGCUUGCGGGGUAUUAGGUAGUUGGUGUGGUAAUGGCGCACCAAGCCCAAGAUACCUAGCCGGUUUGAGAGAACGAUCGGCCACACUGGGACUGAGACACGGCCCAGACGCUUACGAGCGGCAGCAGUGGGGAAUAUUGGACAAUGGGCGAAAGCCUGAUCCAGUGAUAUCGCUUUGGGGAUGACGGCGACAUACGUUGUAAACCCAAUGAAGUACGUUUAGAUUAUGACCGUACGUAUUUUAGAAGUCCCGG